rnacentral:misc_RNA from 1 species
GGAAAUAAGGGGCAGGUUAACUCUGUUAAGGCUGUUGUCUAAUUGAGUGUAGAAUUCUCAUUGUAGCCUCAAGAUGCUGCCUCUCACUGUAUGCUUCUAAGCAUUGGAGUUUGCGAGUCUUUGACACUUGUAUUUUUAACAUACAUAGUUGAUGUGUGUGCGUGCACGCAUGCUUUCAUUUUGUUUUCCUGCCCCAGUUUAAGCUUUAAAUAUCAACUGUAUAGCACAAGUGUGUGUGGGUAGAGUUUGAUAUUGUUAGGUUUAUUAAGGCAAUGUUCAUGCAGAAGGUGUGAACUUAGAAAACCAAAAUCAAUACUGAAAUAAGGGGGUUUCAGAUAUUGGAUUGGCAGACUAACAUUCCAUGUAAAUGAAUUGCAUAAAUUCUAUUAAUGGAUCAUCUUCUCUGAUUGUUUAUUUGUCUUAAAUGGUAAAAAUUCAGCCUUCACAUGAUUGAUUUUAGUGCUACUUUUUAGCAUGUCAAGGUAAUACAAAUUUAUUAGAGGGCCUGCGCCACAACAUAUUUUGACCUUCUCACUAUGAUAUAAGCUUAUGAUCUCUACAUGUGCAUUUUACUGUUUUAUGCAAAUCUUUCCCAAUAACUGCUUGUUGAGGGUUAUGCAUAGCAAUGACCUAUCCUUAUCAUAUAAAUUUCUCUUUGGACAGAUCGAUAUAUUGACUCUGCUAGAUGGUAGGAACUAAGCUUUUGUAGUUGGGUAUCCUGUACAUCAAUUGUAUUUUAUUUGCAGAGCACGCGAUGUGGUCCAAUAUUGAGGGACUGAACGCAAAAGUUAUUUUUGAAAAUUGCAUAACAACGACCAUGCUCUGGAAGUGAGUACUGGAAAGAAUGGAAGGAACUGUAGCCAAAAGAACCCUUGUAUGCUGCUUCUAUCAUAAAUGACCUCAUCCAGCUAAAAAGGCAAUGUUAUCUCAUCCAUUUUCAAGAGGUUACAGGUGUCGAAUAAUGAUGCAGAACUUCAAAGAUGCUGAUAAGGUUGGCAUUUAUAUAUAUGGUGCUGUCUGUCUCCCAUAGUUUCGAAGUCAAGAGUUCAAACCUUAAUAGUUCCCAUCUCAUUUAAGAAAUUCUGAAGUAUAAAU